AUUUUUAUUUUUAUGUUGCAUUUGGAUAAAUCUACCUCCGUUAUUGUGAUAUAAUGUUGUGUAUUUUUGUUAGUACUUAGAUUUUGAAUAUAUAUUAAAUUGUUUUGCUAAAAUACUUGAUUUAAUUGAAUUAUACAAUGAUUAACAACCUUAAUUACUUUCAGGACCCUUAUUAGUAGAUACCACUAUUCACAAUAUCUUGUGUACAAUGGAACUUAAUCUGAUCAAAAGGCAAUAAUGAGUUGGUAAUAAAUAUUUUUAUCUUAGAAUAUCCCUAUUAUGGUCGUCUGCAAUUGGAGUCUUUUGGGAUCUCAUUGACAAAAACCAUUGGUGUGCAAUCUGUAUUAUAGAAUAGUCUCUUUACAAAGAACCAAUAUUCUUCGUUCGUGAUUUGAAGGCUAAGCAAUUUAUAGGCGUGAAUAUUAUAUUAUUUAAUUAAAUACAAAUUUACCUUACCUUAAUUUAAUGUCACGAUCAACAACUGUAUCAAAAGCCACAUACUCUACUACUGCUGCAUUGGUAUAAAAUAAUGAAGCCACGCGAGUAAAAAUCUUAUAUAAACCGUAUUAAAUCACAAUAAAAUGAUUCUGUUGAAUUUGUGUUUGUUUUAUCCCUUUUCGACCAAUAACCGUAUUCUGUAUAUCUGUGCAUCUCCCUUCACUGCUUGAACUAAGAUUUGCUGUUGUGGAAGCGAGACACCGCUUUAAGCUGUAUAUUACGACGUCUUGCUUCCACAACGGCAAAAGUCUUACUUUAGGGGUAUAAAGAGGACUUCGCCAGGGGGUUUUCAAGCCCCCUGGCGAAGUCGUCUUUCAAAAAACCCUGUGAUCCUGUCUUUUUCAGGGUGGAGUUUAUUUAGCGGCAAGACUUUUACGUUAAUAUUGACAUUGAUGUGUUACAGAGAAUGAAUACAUGUUUAUACCAUUAAGAAAAGGCAGACAGCUCUUGAUGGUCAACAAAUACACAUUUUCACAAGAUCAUUGUAGUAACACUUAUUACUGCUCCAAGAGAAGUUCGGGAUGCAAGGCGAAAGUGAAACUGCAUAAGUUUGGGCGAGUAGUUGAACAUGUCGGGGAACACUUCCACGAACCUCCUAAUUACGUGCGAUUGUCUUCGGGGGAAUUUGUUAAAGUUUAGUGUAAAACUGUAAACAAUACUACUCAUCUUUGCGCUGUCGAUGGACCCUUGUUAACAGCUUUUAUUAGUGUUACUGACACACGAAUGAAAGCUUAAAUAAUAAAGUGUACAAUAAAGAAUAUUAUAAACAAUCGCUGUCUACGACUCACUCAUACUUAAGCGCGCUCCGAUGAGUUGAACUUUCUUUAGAGUAAUUGUUAACAUAAAAAAUAUCAAGAAGUACUAUACAACAAGUUACAUUUCACUGUUGGUAAUUUUUAUUAUUGUAUUGUGAAUAAUAUUUAUAUUUGUACGACUGACCAUGAAUUUAGCUAAUCUAUUGUUGGUGAAGGAAUUUAGUUUUUAAUUGUUAAUCAAUCCGUGUUAUGGAAUGUAAAGUAUCAAGUUUUUCUAAUGUUAACUUGUCUACUAGUUUAAUAUUUAGAUUAGGUAUAUGUAAGGUAUUCGUCGUGAGUUGUGAUCUAGACCAAUUAAGUACCUAUUUCUUACUUGCAUUAUUUUGUGUGUUUGUGUGUGUGUCCGAAUCUAUACCAUUUUUUUUUAUAAAUUUGAACUAUUUUCAAUGCUCAACCAUUCCGUUUCAAUGCAUUAUGCCUCUGUAAGAUAAAUAUAUUUAAUGUUAUUCUUGUUUACUUUAUAACAUUUAAGAAGUAUUCCAUUUUUUAUAUUGCGUUUUAUUACAUAACAUUAGUUUUAAUAUCGUUGUUUAAUUUGACAGCAGUAUACUCAAAAGAUCGCGUAAUUUAUAUUUUUAUUCUUCAAGUGCCUAUUAGAUGCCAACUGUCAAGCUUAUCGGGCAUGGAUAAUGGUUGUUGAAAGAUUUGUACGCACGAGUUUGCCGGUUCGAUCCCAACGCCGGCAAAUUCUAAAGUCCCUUUUUCAAAGUUUAUUCCUACUAAUAUUAUAACCAUGAAGUAAGUAUGGAUGGAGGUUCGUUACUCUUUCAUGCAAAAUUUGUUGCACAGAAUAACCAAGGGUGAGGAAAAACAUCGUGACCAUUUUAAUUUUAAAAUAUUAUAACGACGUGGGAAGAGGAAUGUGCCCAUGAAUGAGACAUUCCUUUAGGCUGGUAUUAUUUAUAUAAUUCUGUUAAAGUAGACGAUCAUGAUGAAGUCGGAUGUUUGUCAGAUUACUUACAAUUCAAAAAUAUAUUUUCAGUGUCAAACUGAAAACGCAUAUGGAAUUUCCAGGAAAAACUCGUUGGUUCAUAUUUUACCGUAGCGUCGUAAAAAUAUGAAUAAAUGUGAGCUUUUUAUUUGUUUUGCGCUAUAGCCAAUUCUUGAUGAGAGCCGAAGAUCUAGUUUAGUGCCCUGGGAGAGAUAGCUGUCGGCUAAGGCUGCGUUUCCAUCAGAGAUGUGCGAGGAUGCGUAGCGAGGGAUGUGUUUGUAAUAGACCAAUAGAAUCGCUUGAUUUACCUCGCCUCUGUCAGCAUAGCUCUGGUGGAACCGGCUCAGCAAUCAUCCUCGCACAACACAUUUCCUUCGCACCUUUCUGGUGGAAACCCAGCCUUUCUAGCAGUCGGCUGAGACGAGCUGAUGAUGAUGGUGAUAGGUGCCUCCGAUACUAAUGAAAUAAAGUGAUUGAAUUCGCCUUUCCUUCUCUGUUUACUAUAUUCAUAUCUAGGAAACCUGUUAAAAUAGAUCUUGUGAUCCUGUGACAAGUAUCGAUAAACAAAGAUGGGGCAUUAAAAUAUUUUGACAACCAAUUAAGACGGUUGGGAAUACAUAAGUACAUUACGGAUUAUUCAAUGGAUAUUAUUAACCAUCAUUUGUAGUAUUCAAAUUUUAACAAUACAAAAACUACGUUCCUUUCUGUUCCAGGCUCACCGUACGAGUUAAUUACAACAACCAGGGGGAAUACGUUGUUAUUGCUCAAUGGCUACACGUUCUAUGGUCACUGUCGUUCUAAAGUUAACUACUACUGCUCAAGCAAGUCCAAGAACUGUCCUGCAAGGGUUCGAUUGAAUGAAUAUGGAGGUAUACUGAGUGUUGUACAGAAUCAUAAUCAUAGAAGACCAGUUUAUCGGCAACUUAAUGAUGGAAAGUACAUACGAGUAUAGAAUUUGAUAAAAUUUUACUUUACUUCUACUUUGAUAAUAAAUAGUAUUUCUUAUCUUUUCUCUUUGUUUUAUUUGUAACAUACCAUAUGUCCCUUGCGGAUUUACCAGUGCGCUUAAACUUGACUGCUCGGAUAGUUGUGAGGUUACCUCUCCAAACUUACUGCCCGUGACGUGUUAUUUGUGUGUCCAUGAAAUCUUAUUCUGAGGCAGGGUGUCUAUGUGUAUGCGACGGGAACGUUUGUUAAAUUCAUCUCGACAGAAGUAUUUAAUUUAUUGAGGCUCAAAAAAUAGUUUAAAUUCUUGGCCACUAAACAAAAAAAAAUUGUUUAGUCUUAUAAUUGUUAGCCUAUUUUAGCUACCCUAAAGUAAUCGUACUACCUAACGAUAACUUUUUUUGCAUUCACAAGCAAGCCUUAUUACCUUAUAUUUUAUAAAGGCAAUCAAUUUAUCAAUUUAUUAUUCUUUAAAAUUUCAGACCUGGAUGUGAAAUUUAUUAGAACUAAUGAUGGCAAAACAUUGUUAAUGUUCAAUAAAUAUACUUUUUCACUACGCAGACGUUCUACAAAUUUGUAUUACUGCUCUAAAAGAAGUACUUUGAAAUGCAAAAGUAGUUUAAAACUAUCGGAAGAGGGAAGAGUCGUGUUUUUCAUAGAUAGACAUAAUCACAGACCACCAGCUUUCGAAGUGUGUGGAGGAAUCUAUGUAAGAGCUGUGUAAAAACCAGUAUUAUAAAACUGAGACGAAAACAGACAUGUGUAAGCUGGCAGAUGAAAAGAUGCAUUUAUUAGUGGUGCUAUACAUGAUAUAUGAUGUUCAUGCAUAAUGAUAGAUAAACGGAGGUGCAAAAUUCAGAAGCGUUACCAUCACGGGCACUAAGCCCAAAAAGACGCCCUGAAUGUAACUGAUUGAAAGUUACUUGCAAGAUAGAUGAAGAUGACAUAGAAUGUGAUAUAAUUUUGCCAGUACAAUAUUGAUUGGUUAUCGAUUGGACAUUUCAGCUCAUCUCAGCAUCUAGAAAUGUAAUUAGAUUUAUCAAACUACAAGUUCAUUCAAACGAUACGCGGUAAAACGUUGCUUAUGGUCAAUGGAUAUACGUUUACGGAGAACAACCGCGCUAAAAACACUUAUUACUGUUCGAGAAAGUACAAGAGUUAAUACACCAUGAUACCGACGCCUAGAGGAAAAAAGCUUUUGAUGCUCAAUGGGUACACAUAUUCGCAGAAGAAUUUGACCAGGAACUACUAUUGUAGUAAGAAGGAUGCUGGAUGUAAAGCGAGGGUCAAGUUGGAUAAAGACGGGUCUGUGAACUCUGCAUCAGUCACUAUUCAUUUUCAUGACCCUCCGCAAUACGUGGUUUUGCCUCAUGGAGAUUAUGUCAAAGUUUGAUGUAGAUAUCCAGUUUUCUAUCCUUUUACUACGACGUCGUACUGGGGUCUUCGAUCUCUAGAUCUAAACGGGGGAGCGUCUCAAACCAAGUUUUAACCAAGAACUGGCGAGCAGCACCGAUUUUACAUUAACCAUUUGGGUCUAAUACAUCGUAUUUACAUCGAUUAAUAUGCUAGGAAAGCUAUUGGAUUAGACCUUUUGUCGAAUCGAAUUUGAACUGUGAACGAUUGACCAAAAUACUGUCCCAAUCUCAGGCUUGAUUGAUGACUAUGUUGGAAUAAAUAAUAAUCGGAAAUUAGAGCUAAUUUGGGAUACAAAAUGAUACCAACGAAACGUGGGAAGUUCUUGCUAAUGUACGAAGGAUACACAUAUUCACAGCAACAUUGGUCUGCGAACUACUAUUGCUCCAAAAAGGACUCUGGCUGCAAGGCUAAGAUAAAGCUCGACAGUUUGGGGAGAAUACUCCCGAUAUCACAGAUCGAGCAUAUGCAUCCGCCCCCUCAGUAUUUAAUGAUGCCUAAAGGGAAUUAUGUUAAACUGUCCUGAUAAGGGUAUGAAAUAUACGUUUAUCCCCUCCACAAAAGGGAAGAUGUUACUGAUGGUGAAUAAAUACACUUAUUGGCAAAAAAAUGAUACUCGGCUUUACUAUUGCUCUCAACGAUCCAUCGGAUGCAAGGCUAGGGUAAAACUUGAGAAGUACGGGACUAUUACAGCUAUGAACGAUGACCACCACCACGCCCCACCAAACUACUUGAUGACCACUUCAGGACAUUAUAUUAAAAUAAAAUGAGCAGUCUCAUUUAAAAAAAAUAUACCAAAUGUUCUUUUUGCUAUUAUGUGAUUGUUAAGUUCUCAAAAUGAAUGGCCUCUGAAACAAUAAGACCUUCUCGAGGACUGUUCUUAUUUCGUUUUUGCCUGAGAGGAAGCAUUUAUGAUCUGUUUGCUCCGUUAAAGUAUAUAUAUUUCUGAAUGAGUUGUUCUUAGCCUCACUCGUAAGUAAUCUGUUUGUGUAUCUGUUACUAUAGUACUAUAAAAUAUAUUGCUGCUAACAGUACAAUGAUGAUUUUAUUUUAUGGCCGAUCGUCACAACAUUUACAAAAUCGCUUAACCUAAAAUAUCCCUUAUCUUACUAUAACAAUAAAGGCUGCUAUCAGCAAUAAAAGCUUUUUGUUCCAGAAAUACCAUAUGAGCAAGUGGUAUCCCAGAAAGGGAGAAUCAUGUUGCUGGUCGAUGGAUACACGUUUUCGAAGAAGACUACGAAUUGGGUAUGUUCAUCCAGGAUGAAUAACUGCAAGGCGAGUCUCAAGCUGAAUGCUGCAGGAAAAAUUAUAGCGCUCAAUAACCAUCACACUCACCCCCCGAGAGGCUUCAUGACAAUGGCAUGUGGAACGAUAGUUCGAAUAUAAUAAGGUCAUAGGGACAAUGCUACAUCGCAUAAGCGUGUGCGAAUAGAAAACUUCAAAUAUGAGGACAUUCCUUUUUAUCAUUUUGUUGUUGAUGUCACUUCAAUACAUUUGAGUGAUAUAAUCAGAGUUAACGGUGGUUUAUCGACUGCCUAAAUUUCUGACUCCGAGCUAGAGCAGCAUCUUAUAUUGAUCGCCCGGGAACUGGCCGCAGAUGUUUGCCUCUAAUUAGCACGUAUAAAUCCUUCAUUAGCUUUCAAAGAAAAAUAAAUUGUCUUCAAGCGCUGAACACAAUAUCUAUGUGAUACUUUUGUUACUACUAGAAUUAAUAAAUAACAUUUAGGUGGUUGGAUGUAAGAUUAGAAAAACUCGUUUUAAAGCGAAAAGUGUACAAUAGGCAGGUACUCUUUACGAACUUUUCUUGUAAAUAUGGAUUUGGUCCUAAAAUACUUGCCGUUGUGUUGUGUUUUUAAAAUAAAUGUUUACUCGUUUGAGUUCCAUAGUUAAAAUGAAAACCUUCACAAGAAACGGGGUGUUCCGCCGCUUCCGCGAACAAGUUCCACCAGAACGCACUAAGACGUAGUUCAAGGAAGAUGACUAACUUAAUUUUAAGCUAUCCCUACUAAUAUUAUAAAUGCGAAAGUAACUCUAUCUGUCUGCCUG